rnacentral:misc_RNA from 1 species
CUGGUCAUAGACCCACUGGAUGUUAUCCAUUCGACUGCUAAUCCUCUUUCUCUUUGCACAAAAAAGAAGUAUUGUUUAUGUAAAAAUUACUCAUUAUUUCCAAGCACAAAUCAAUAAUAAAAAUUGAUAAUUUACUGCAUUUUCCCACAUGUUCAAGUUCCAUAUUAAAUAAAUAACUUCAAAUUCAAAUCUAUAUGAUAUUCCUUAACAAUUAAAAGCACCUAUUUCACACGAAUAAACAAAG